rnacentral:tRNA from 1 species
GCACCCGUAGCUCAACUGGAUAGAGCGUUGCCCUCCGAAGGCAAAGGUUGCUGGUUCGACUCCAGUCGGGUGCGCCA